CMWGWWWGUASCUUUCMGAGAUGGAUUGGUGCCUUCGGGAACUCUGAGACAGGUGCUGCAUGGCUGUCGUCAGCUGUGAGKGAAAUGUUGGGUUAAGUCCCGCAACGAGCGCAACCCUUAUCCUUUGUUGCCAGCGGUUAGGCCGGGAACUCAAAGGAGACUGCCAGUGAUAAACUGGAGGAAGGUGGGGAUGACGUCAAGUCAUCAUGGCCCUUACGAGUAGGGCUACACACGUGCUACAAUGGCGCAUACAAAGAGAAGCGACCUCGCGAGAGCAAGCGGACCUCAUAAAGUGCGUCGUAGUCCGGAUUGGAGUCUGCAACUCGACUCCAUGAAGUCGGAAUCGCUAGUAAUCGUAGAUCAGAAUGCUACGGUGAAUACGUUCCCGGGUCUUGUACACACCGA
rnacentral:rRNA from 2 species